ACAGACCAUUAGCAUGGCUUCUUCUACUUCAAACAGAGCACACUAUACCAUAACAUUAUAAAAAUACAAAGUAUGAAACAAAUAAUCUGUUUAUACAGAUAUUUUAAGCUGUUUUCACCAGCUCUGACAUCCCCUGUAUUUAGUAACAGAAACUUACUCAUUUCAGAUUACUCGCGCUUAAAAAAUGUUAAAUACAGUUAAUGCAAUAUUAAUCGCCCUUUGGUGAUAUAAAAUGCAAUAUUUUCAGGCAGCUAUUGAGCUUUUCUAGAGGAAGAGCUGAUGAAAACAGUCACAGCUGAAUAGUGGAGAGAAAAAAGCUCUGUAUUUAUUGCUUUUGUUUGGCUUUUGGCUACAGAGACAGGAACAUUCUAAUGGGAUCAGAGAGUAUUUCUGAGGUCCUGAAUGCGGUGGUGACGAUUUGGUGUGGCAUUUCCUCCUUGCUGAGGUUUGGCAAGAAACCCUGUGACCACUGGUUGAACAGGAGCCAUGGAGAGCUACCACAGGGACUUCAGAGGAAAAGGAAGAUAUGUUUUACUUAAUUUAGGUGUUUCAUGACAUUUCUAAGGCUUGAACAAUUCAACACUUUACAGAAAUUCUUCCGGAUCAUCUAUGCCAGAAGUUCAUUCACACCAAGAUUUCAGCCAGGAGUCCUGCCAUUUCCUUGGGAUGUGAACUUUUCAUGUGGUCUCUGAUGACUCAGAAUAUGUGCUGAUCACACUUAAUUCCUCUCCAAGCACAGUUCAAGAACAGUUUAAUUGAAACCUCAGUGAAAAUACCAGGGAGAAGUAACGUCUGUGCCCUCCCCAUGAUGACAUUGUUACUGCAGCAGUUAAUCUCAGAAGAUGAAAACCUCACUUCCAGAUACCACUCGCUUUGACUGGGUUACCAUUCAAUAGCUCCUAACACCCAGAAAACCACUCCUGUCAGGCCAGCAGUGCAUAGAGUAUGUGUCUAAAACCUGCCCUCUUUAAGCUGCAGCGUCAGGACUGCACAAACCUUCAGUCCCUCUGGUUAGGAUUUCAAAUGCAUUUAAAUCAUGGAAUCAUAGAAUAAGAAUAUGCUGAGUUGGAAGGGAUACAUCAGGAUCAUCGAGUCCAACUCCUGUACAUUAACAGCUUUUACUUGUCCAUGUCUCAAACAAGGAAUCACCAGUAUCAUGUGUGAAUUGCCUUCCUAAAGGAACUAGCAAUCUGAGUCAUCAGGAUAGAUAACAUACAAAAUCUGCUGACUCUGGGAAGAUUUCUGUCCUGACCCAGAACCUCAGCUGUUACAUGUCCCCUGAGCUUCAGCCUGGAACUUCUGGGUUCUCCUGUACCAAGUGGAGUGGAUAACAAUGAAGACCUAAGACCCUGGAGCCCACCACCAAGUCAUACUGCCCUUACAUUCUUGUCACACCCAUGUACAUCUAGGAGAAGAUCUGGAAGAAAAAUGGCUCUGGAAACAGCAGAGAAUGUCUCAGUAACUUCAGUAGCAAAACCCCUUAUGUUCAUACUCUACCUCUAAUUAAAUAUUGAGAUCUCUGUUGAAAAUUGUAUCCUUUACAAAUGCUAGCAAGUGAUUACACAUGUAUAAGAACCUACAAGGAUAAUCAUGCAGGUGCUUUUUUUGGAAGAAUGAUGAGAGUCAUACUUUCAGCAACAGUGCUACGUUAACUUGCAAAUUAUUUGGGACAGAACCUGUGUAUCCCUAUGUUGGUCUAAAAAGGCCCUUACAAACAUUGAACAAUAUGGGAUCAUAAACAGUAACAAUCUUCCAAGAUUAGGUCUUUCACAGUUAAGGUUCAAAGGCUCUUCCACUGUGAAAAUGUUGUUGAAUCAUCAACCAUUUGCUGAACUUCCUGACAAAGCCUCUGCCUAGGGGACAAAAAUCAGGUGAGGAAGAGUCUGUAGUUAACCACACAACCCUUUUUAAAAUUGCUGUGUGAUAAAAAUUAAUAUGUACUUAGCUCUUCAGUAGGUUUUGCUGCAGUCCCGGCUUUCUACCAUAUGUGAGGCUCUUUUUGUCUUGUCACAACUCCUUUGUUUUCCAGAGGGUUUUCCUAUAUAAUCAGUUCUUUUCAAGGAGGAUUAUUUUAUAGGCUCCUUUUGCCACAAUGUCAACAUUUCUAAUUUGAAGGACUCGUAUCUUGUAAAUGCCAAGCAAAGUGCUAUGACUAUUACAUGUAUCUAAGGCUAAUUUUUUUAACAUUUGUUUAAAAAUCUCUGCUCCUCCAUUGCAUGUUUUGGCUCUACACAUGAAAAUGUGCACAGUCACAUUCAAACACAUAUUUGUGUAUAUGAUAUGUACCACCAAAGACAAACAAAUGGCAUUAAUUUGUCCAGUCUUUCACCUGUCAUCAGUUUAAUGGCUAAGUCUAUUUUCAUGGUAGCACUGAAAGAAUAGGACUCAGUAUUUGAAAUCCACUGUGGGAGCCUGACACUGGCAAUGCAGGGAUAGUCACACUGUGAUGUCAGUGCAGAGCAUAUCAAGCACAGGGUCACUGCUAUCACUGGUAUCUCCUUGGACAAAUUUUCUUGUACAGUUUCACUUUCCCCUUCUGUCCUUCAGAUAGAGAGCAGUCAUGGAGAAAUAAUGUAUUUCUACAAACCCCAUAAUACUCAAAAAUCAGACAGGGUUGUAAGAAUAUUUAUUUGAUGCAAAAGAUGCAGUAAAUGUUGAAUGAAGGUGUUCAGAGUGUCUGACACAUAUAGAAAGUGAUUGAUUAUUUGCAUAUCACUGUGAUUCACCACACUUUUUCCUGGGAUAAAUAAUAUUUUCUGAUCUGAACUACUCACAGAUAGAAAAGACAGAAGACAUCUAAACUUCAAUAUUUAAUUCUGCUCUGGAGCUUAGGCUACAAAAAGAUGUAUGCUGGACAGUUCACAUACCACUGCCUGGAAAUGCCUUCUAUACUCCAGCAAAUCUGUUUUGCUUGAAUAGCUCACCUUCCCCAAUCUUAUGUAAACCCAAAAGUAAAUAAAAAAAAAAAAGAAGAAGCUUCUUUUUUUUUUUUUUUUUUUAACAUGCUUGUCUUAUAGUCUGAUUACUAGGAAGCAUCAGAAAGCCAAGGAGGAUGCUCAAAGAUUCCUAGUGGACUAAUGCAACUUAACUUUUAUACUUAAUGAGUGCAUGUCCACAGAUUUGUUGAGUUACCCAAGCAGUACCUAACUGACUAGGAGCUCGUCUAAAGGAAGUAAUGGAGAAAAAGAUAUUUUAAGAAAUUUAUGUAUUCAACAAAUAGGAAACCCCAAAAACAUUGGGUUGGCAUUCCUUAGUUUCCUGAAAGACCAAGAACAUUGCUGAAUCUGUAGACUUACUGUGGUUGUAGUUUUUUCUGUUUUUUACCUUUGAUGACCUAUACAUAAAGAGCUACUUCUUGUCUGGUGCUAAAUGUAAUGACAAGGAAUAAGCUGUCCUCUAAUUGCAAGACUGAUUUUCCCACAAUUUCAGGGCAAGCCUAUUGUCGGUGUUCAGUUGCAAGUAAAAAUUUGCUCUGCAAACUUAUUAAUGGAAAAUGAAGUAUAACUAGCUUAUACAACAAAAAUAUUUUGGAAUUUCAAAGGAAAAUGAACUAUAUUUUACUUAAAUAAAUGAACCACAGAAUAAUAUUAAUGAAAGAUGAGCUACAACUGGGUAUGUCUGCAGCUACUAAAAAGGUAUCAUAUCUAAUAUUGAUGUUUGUCAAUGACAGAACUUGUCUUGCUCUCUGCUAAUACCUGAGAUCAAAUAGAAAGUAAUUCACCCUGCUUUUCUGAUUUUGAAUUUAUUGAAAAAAUAUCAAUCUACCUAUGGAACUAUAUAACAUAUUAAGCUAGUCAUUUUAAGAGUGGAGUAACUCAUCUGAAAUCAGUGGAGUCAAACUGGUGUAAAUGAAGUGGGGAUAAACCCAUGCACAAAGAGUUAAAGUCAGUGGUAAGUACCAGAAUAUACCCUUGGAGGGUGAACAUUUAGAGACUAAUAAUUUUACUCCAUAAUAUGAAAUAAUGUUUCAUAAUGCUCUUAAUUCUCUCCUGGCAUUCCAUUCAUCAGUGCACAGCUACAAAGCUAGGCACUUAGUUGGGAUCAUGUAAGUAAACAUAGUAAUUUCAUACUUGCUUUUAAUAUUGGAACCACUAAUAGAUGCUAUGUUCAAAAAGCAUAAACAAACCACAAGACCUGCUAAUCAAGGUAAGAGCCAUAUGUACAAAAUAAAUGGAGUCUUUCUCACCUUUGGCUUGAGAAAACAAAAAAGAAAGGGAUUUCAGCAGUAUUGUCUUUAAUCCAAUUUACUUUGGAUUUAAUCUCCAAAACAAGGCUGGCCUGCUAAUUCCCAAUUAUAAUGGCACAUGUAAUCAGAGUCCUCAUUAACAAAGACUGACUAUAUUGUCUAUUAGCAAUGGAAAUCUGAAAUGCAAAUUCAGCAAAUCAAAACGUUAAAUGAGCUCUACCCAAGAUGCUUAGAGCUCCUGCCAGGGCAGCGCAUGCUGGCUGACACCUGCCCUGAAUUCUCCCUCCAGCUGAAUGUUUCAUUCUGUUCCAGUCUUUGCCUCCUAAUUGACCUGCUUAUGAUCUCUGCUACAAUUAACAUAUGCUUAUUAGUAAUGGCUGGUUAAAGAUUUCAAACUGCCGCAGUUUACAAAGUCUAAUAGAGAUGGCACACCACAGGAAAGAUAAGACCACUGUUUUCCUCAUCAGCAGUGUCAUAGUGGUUUGGUUUCAUGUGAUUCAAAUGAGAUAAUUUUUCACAUCCUCUGAUGUCUGCAAACCCAUUCUAAUUGAAACUGGAAAUCUGCACACAAAGUGGCUUAAGGCUCCUGGUGCACUAAAUGAAAAUCAGUUAGGGAAUAGGAAUUUUUUUCCCUGUAACCACAUGCUUAGCAGAGAUGGGGAAAAGAUUGUUUUAGAAAGAGGGGGACAAGGAAACAAAGAGGGAGAGGGAGUAAAAAGCUAGUUUGAUAACAAACAAGAAAAUUCCCUACCCCACUGUAUGCUUGGUCAAAUUCCUUAGUCCAUUUCAUAGCUGUAAAUAAAGGUUUAUAGACAAUGAAUCAUCAGUUUAGAGAUAAUGAACUGAAGGAUUUUUCUUAAUACAUUGAAGAAGAAAAGAAUAAUUCUGUCAUUACCAGAGUAUUGAUUGCUAUUAUUUUUGUUCAUGCUCCUUAUCCAAGAAAACAUUCUUAAUUAAAACAAACAAACAAACCAAAUCAACCAAACAACAAAACACACACACACACAAAGAAAAAAAAUGACUUAAAUAUGCAAAAGUGGGCUCUUAUUGGAUGACUACUAUAAUACUUCACUAAUAUUAAGGUAAUGUCAUAUUCCCUACACUUUCUUAUAUGAAAAAUAUCAUAUUAAUGCUGAUUUGGCAGGUCAGUCUACUUUCAUUAAAUUUUCCUCUCUCUUCAGUGUUUUUCCAUUUUACUAUCUCCAGUCUGCAGGAGCCAAUGGGCAACAAAUAUAUCUCUUCCCCCUGGUUUCAUUCCAGCUUCAUUAGCAAUGCACUAAUACUGCAAUUAUGUCUAAUUCUCUCUCCUAACUGCAUUAUUAUUAUUUAUCUAAGAUUUCUUGCUGACCAUAUUUAUUCCUAUUAAUUUUGUACCUUGAUUUCUCUUGAUAAUAAUGCAUUCUUAAGGAGAUUAUUCGGUAUUUCACAGUCCUUCCUUUUGUAUUCUUAUCUUUGAUUAUAUAAGCCACUUAUCCCUUUGAAGUCUCAUACUGACAAAAUCCCAGAGGGCUGGAAAGAGGGUAAGAAAAUAUUUGGGGCUUGUGUUUUGCUCUUAUAACCACAGUCACUUCUACUUACAGACAAAUGCAGUUAAUAUUUUUUUGUGGAGACUUUUAUCCUGGUACCAAAAAAAUUCAAUGGCUAUUUAAUCUUAUUUUCCUGAAAGAUAUUUCAUAAAACUCAUGUUUUGUGCUUCAUUAAAAAAACAUGUACUCAACAACACUUUCUUGAACCCAGGAUGCAGAAUUGUGUAGUUGGCAUGAUCUACACAUGCUUUGCAAGGGCAUCACAGACACUCACUGCUCUGGAAAAAGCCACAGUUUGGUCAGGCAAAUACAAUAGACAGAAAAUAUCAGGUUCCAGCAAAGGUGAGGAGAACACCAGAGAGAAAAUUCAUGCUCAGCUGCACAGUUGACUUGUGGGCUUUAUGAAAGGAUCUAAAGGAACUGGAAUAUCAUUCAGUUAUUAGGAAAAUAUAUUAUUGCAAUCCAUAGGAAAAUGUACACAUUAGAAGCAAAAAAAAAAUAAACAAAGGUAUCUCCUUAAGGCUGGCACUAAAAUUCUUAAACUUUCUCUUUUGUGGAUUUCUUUUUUUUUUUUGAGUGAUGGCCUCAUUGACUUUCAUAUUUAUUCUGAAGCUAGUGAAAAGCAGCCUGAGAUGUUUUCCUGUAAUUGAAAUGAACUAGAUUGCAGUAAAAGAAAAAAAUUAUGUACUCCUUGAAAAGAAAAUGCUCCCGCGCCUCUCGACUUCAUGGCCAUUAUUAUCAGCCUUGCACUCUUUCAACAAGACUAAAACUUCUAGGACUAAAUAAAGAGUUAGUAUAUUCAGCUGCAGAGCUCCAAAAUCUUUUGCUGCCCUUGCUGUGUAUGGUUAUUAACUUUAUAGGAUGCAGACUUGAUCCUGUUUAUAUUUAGAACUACCUUUUCCCUUUCCUUUCCAUUUUCCCUGCAGCUAGAAGCAUAAUUAAAGCAAGAGUGGGAUUUAAUUUACUCAAAAUUAGCUAAGUAAAAGUCAUGGCUCUCACUUCAAGUGCUCUCCAAGGCUCGCUUUCUAAUCAGCAGAGGGAGAAGCAGAACCAGAGUGCAGUUCAACCCAUCCCAGGAUGGGUAUUGAAGGUAGGGAAUUGGGUUGGUGUUUUCCAUUUCUACUGAUUGUAAAGGAAGGCUCAAUUGUAACUUUCAACUGUUAAUUUUAAGUAACUCCUGAAAGAAUGGGUUAUGAUAUCCCUCAGGAACAUAACUUCAGUGUGUGAAAAGGGAUGUAAGAGGAAUAAGAAUCCAGCAUUUUGAAUACAGUAUUUGGUACAAGGAAUUUCCCACUGCUGUUUCCACUACCAUCCAGCCUGGUACCACAUUUCCAAAGGGAUUUGUUUAAACAGUUUCCUACAUUUUCUACUAUCUGAAGUGAAUGCUGUUCUAACUAUUUUACAGCAAGGCUAUGACACGUUUAAAAUUAGCAAUAUCCUUUGAUUUGAUUUGAUUUAGCAACACUUCCAAAUGCUCAGCAGCACAUUGCUGUUGGCCACGCUACUAAUUUUUCAGAACAAGAAACGGAAGAGGCAAUUUUACAAACUUAUAGAUCAGCAUUCUGAAUUGAGUCCUUGCCUGUGUUGUUUGGGCACCAAGAAAAAAAUAAGAGGGAAAAGUGAGUGCUCAGUCUUUUCAGUACUUAGGAUCAAAUGAAGUACAGAAUAAGAUCUUAUGAUUGUUCAUAAGUUCACAGCAAAAAUAACUUUCGAUUCCUAUCUGUUCAUUGCAUUUGACACUGAGCUUUGUUAAAAGUACUUAGAUUCCCCUGUGGCUUGGGAUACUUGCUUCAAUAAAAAUAUUACUAAAACCCCAGAAAAACUUUUCACACCAUAAAGCAGCAUAAAGACUGUUAUUUGCAUUUAAUUUUCAUGCAGGCAUAUGCUUUGAAGGAUAAUUUUUUAAGUUUAGUUUAAGUGAAAUAAAAUUAAAUGCCGAUUAUCAGAUGAGCAUGAAUUAAAACAGCAGGUUUCACCUUUUUCACUGUCAAAACCUUUGAAAUAUGAAAACAAUAUCACACAGAUGUUGGUAUAUUUCCAUUGAUUAAAAAAAAAAUAGUUGCGUAGCUGAACUCUGGCCCUUGGUCAUAGUUUCUGCAAUUGAAUAGAGAUUUAGGCAUUUGACUGAAAGCAGAGUUCAGUUCCAUCCUUUUUCUUCCCAAGUAACUCAAAAUAUGGUGUCAUCAAAUUUAUUUUUUAAAUCUUUUUAGCUAUCUGCCCAACAAAAAAUUUAAAGAAUAAAUGUCAAUACUAAAAGAUAAUUUUUCACUCCCACACAUGCCAUUAUAUGUGGUGUUUCAUGGUAACACAUAUGGUUCUUCCUGCAAAGAACACCAAACCUUUUUUCAUUCUCUGCAUAGUGGCAAAUGCUCUUCUAUGAAAUCAUUCGGCUAGACCGGUGUAAACUUGGCUUAUCAUUCAAACUUUGCUACAGACCUUCACAGCAAUCAAGGAUAACUCAAUUGAUAGGGUCUAACCUGAAGAACUGUAAAGAAACAAAAUCAUGGGUGAAGUUGAUGUGAAGGCAAAAUACCUGCUACCUCAGAAAUGCAGAUGCUUAAUUACUGUGAACUCCACUUGACCACUAUUUUUUUUCUUUUUUCCUUUUUUUUUUAAAGAACAGAAUACUUCCCAGUUUUGCAGUUUUUUGGAAAAUGUGUUUCUUCUUAUCAUGAAACGCUUGGAUACAGUGGUAAUGGAAGCCCAAUGGACACAAAUGUGCUACUGUUCUGCAGCUGCUAAUGAAGUUAGCUCUUGCACAUGGAGUUAUCUGUCUCUAAAGGUGCAACAGUGGUAGCAGCUAUCAGGGACAGCUGAAUCUGUAUGGGCACUCUGGGAUUUUCUCUUGUGGUUCACAGGACAAAUAGUGACAACUUCUGCUCGUGUGUUCCUUCUUUCCUGAUUGUGUGGGGGGUUAUAUGCCCGAUUAAAUUGCUACAUUCCAAGGAAAUUCAUCUAAUCUGUUUGCAGUAAAAUUAUUCCAGACUGUAAGUAAAAGUUAACAUUCAUUUCAAUCCUUGAAAAGCAUAGGCAUUUAACUCCAGAUGGAGCUUAACCUGAAAUGCAGUCAUGUUCUAACAAGUAAACCUAAGUGUGCUUUUUUAAAUGAAGUUCCUCUUUGGUAGGAAGUAUAUUUGUGUUGUUAUAUACCUUACUGUUACAAAGAGCAAACUUGCUGGACAUUAAUGGUUAAAAUUUCUUUUCAGCAUGUAGAAUUUCAUAGAUAGAUUGUCAUAGUUUAACUGGGACCCUACAAUAUGUCAAGUUAGUGCUGUGCUGCAUACAUGCACAAGGUUUAGAAGGUGAAAGUAAUGAUUGUGCUGGAUAUUGGAUACUGAAUUUUCUUAUGUUCAUUGAUAUAUUUAUAUGUACUUUAAAUGCCUAAAACAGGGGGGAAAAGAGGAAACUUUCAUAUUUUUUCUUUUUUCAUUUUCAUUUUUGCAGAUGCUGUGUUACAGAAUGGGGAAGAAAACAGGAGCAAGUGGAUGAAAGUAUCAUCAUCUUUUUUUCCUACCAUGUAACCUAAAACUGUUCCAAUGAAAAUUUUUUACGACUAUUUUUUAAAGGAAAAAGAAGGAACUCACUCCUGGGAUUUGAAUCUAUGCCAAGCUCGUGCCUUGAAAUAGAAUUUUAAAAAUAGAAAAUCUUGUAUAUAUUGUAGAAUAAAUGGUGCUGCUUUAAUAAGAACACUUGGAAUGCAAAUGAA